AACGCUUAUAACUGGCUUAACACAUGCAAGUUUAUUUAUUAUAUUUUUUUAUAAUGAUUAGCGAACGGGUGAGUAAAAUAUAGAAAUUUGUUUUUAAAUUGAAAAGUAAUUAAAUUUAUUUGUUUAAAGAAAAGUCUAUACAAGAUUAAAUAGUUGGUAGCAAAAAUUUACCAAGUUUAUGAUCUUUAGUUGGUCUUUGCGGAUGAACAACCACAUUGGAAUUGAGAAACGGUCCAAACUUUUUAAAAAGGCAGCAGUGAGGAAUAUUGGGCAAUGAGCGAAAGCUUGACCCAGCUAAGUUAUGUAUGUGAUGAAGGUAUUAAACUGUAAAGCAUUUAAUAGUUAAAAAUUAUGAUAAAAACUUUUCAAACCCUGGUUAAUUUCGUGCCAGCAGCCGCGGUAAA
rnacentral:rRNA from 1 species